GAAUCUUGGACAAUGGGCGCAAGCCUGAUCCAGCAAUGCCGCGUGGGUGAAGAAGGCCUUCGGGUUGUAAAGCCCUUUCGGCGGGGAAGAAAUCGGUCAGGCGAAUAGUCUGGCUGGAUGACGGUACCCGCAGAAGAAGCACCGGCUAACUACGUGCCAGCAGCCGCGGUAAUACGUAGGGUGCGAGCGUUAAUCGGAAUUACUGGGCGUAAAGGGUGCGCAGGCGGCCCUGGUAAGACCGGUGUGAAAUCCCCGGGCUCAACCUGGGAAUUGCGCUGGUGACUGCAGGGCUAGAGUACGGUAGAGGGGGGUGGAAUUCCUGGUGUAGCAGUGAAAUGCGUAGAGAUCAGGAGGAACACCGAUGGCGAAGGCAGCCCCCUGGGCCUGUACUGACGCUCAUGCACGAAAGCGUGGGGAGCAAACAGGAUUAGAUAUCCUGGUAGUCCACGCCCUAAACGAUGAGAACUAGCCGUCUGGAGUCUUCGUGCUCUGGGUGGCGCAGCUAACGCGUGAAGUUCUCCGCCUGGGGAGUACGGCCGCAAGGUAAAACUCAAAGGAAUUGACGGGGACCCGCACAAGCGGUGGAUGAUGUGGAUUAAUUCGAGCAACGCGAAGAACCUUACCU
rnacentral:rRNA from 2 species